rnacentral:rRNA from 1 species
AAAUUGAAGAGUUUGAUCAUGGCUCAGAUUGAACGCUGGCGGCAGGCCUAACACAUGCAAGUCGAGCGGUAGCACAGAGAGCUUGCUCUCGGGUGACGAGCGGCGGACGGGUGAGUAAUGUCUGGGAAACUGCCUGAUGGAGGGGGAUAACUACUGGAAACGGUAGCUAAUACCGCAUAAUGUCGCAAGACCAAAGUGGGGGACCUUCGGGCCUCAUGCCAUCAGAUGUGCCCAGAUGGGAUUAGCUAGUAGGUGGGGUAACGGCUCACCUAGGCGACGAUCCCUAGCUGGUCUGAGAGGAUGACCAGCCACACUGGAACUGAGACACGGUCCAGACUCCUACGGGAGGCAGCAGUGGGGAAUAUUGCACAAUGGGCGCAAGCCUGAUGCAGCCAUGCCGCGUGUGUGAAGAAGGCCUUCGGGUUGUAAAGCACUUUCAGCGGGGAGGAAGGCGUUAAGGUUAAUAACCUUGGCGAUUGACGUUACCCGCAGAAGAAGCACCGGCUAACUCCGUGCCAGCAGCCGCGGUAAUACGGAGGGUGCAAGCGUUAAUCGGAAUUACUGGGCGUAAAGCGCACGCAGGCGGUCUGUCAAGUCGGAUGUGAAAUCCCCGGGCUCAACCUGGGAACUGCAUUCGAAACUGGCAGGCUAGAGUCUUGUAGAGGGGGGUAGAAUUCCAGGUGUAGCGGUGAAAUGCGUAGAGAUCUGGAGGAAUACCGGUGGCGAAGGCGGCCCCCUGGACAAAGACUGACGCUCAGGUGCGAAAGCGUGGGGAGCAAACAGGAUUAGAUACCCUGGUAGUCCACGCCGUAAACGAUGUCGAUUUGGAGGUUGUGCCCUUGAGGCGUGGCUUCCGGAGCUAACGCGUUAAAUCGACCGCCUGGGGAGUACGGCCGCAAGGUUAAAACUCAAAUGAAUUGACGGGGGCCCGCACAAGCGGUGGAGCAUGUGGUUUAAUUCGAUGCAACGCGAAGAACCUUACCUGGUCUUGACAUCCACAGAACUUUCAGAGAUGGAUUGGUGCCUUCGGGAACUGUGAGACAGGUGCUGCAUGGCUGUCGUCAGCUCGUGUUGUGAAAUGUUGGGUUAAGUCCCGCAACGAGCGCAACCCUUAUCCUUUGUUGCCAGCGGUUCGGCCGGGAACUCAAAGGAGACUGCCAGUGAUAAACUGGAGGAAGGUGGGGAUGACGUCAAGUCAUCAUGGCCCUUACGACCAGGGCUACACACGUGCUACAAUGGCAUAUACAAAGAGAAGCGACCUCGCGAGAGCAAGCGGACCUCAUAAAGUAUGUCGUAGUCCGGAUUGGAGUCUGCAACUCGACUCCAUGAAGUCGGAAUCGCUAGUAAUCGUAGAUCAGAAUGCUACGGUGAAUACGUUCCCGGGCCUUGUACACACCGCCCGUCACACCAUGGGAGUGGGUUGCAAAAGAAGUAGGUAGCUUAACCUUCGGGAGGGCGCUUACCACUUUGUGAUUCAUGACUGGGGUGAAGUCGUAACAAGGUAACCGUAGGGGAACCUGCGGUUGGAUCACCUCCUUA